rnacentral:rRNA from 1 species
CAGUCGCCACGGUAAUACGGAGGGUGCAAGCGUUAAUCGGAAUUACUGGGCGUAAAGCGCACGCAGGCGGUCUGUCAAGUCAGAUGUGAAAUCCCCGGGCUUAACCUGGGAACUGCAUUUGAAACUGGCAGGCUAGAGUCUUGUAGAGGGGGGUAGAAUUCCAGGUGUAGCGGUGAAAUGCGUAGAGAUCUGGAGGAAUACCGGUGGCGAAGGCGGCCCCCUGGACAAAGACUGACGCUCAGGUGCGAAAGCGUGGGGAGCAAACAGGAUUAGAUACCCCUGUAGUCCCUGUCUCUUAUAC